rnacentral:lncRNA from 10 species
CAAAGACCAUCCUAUAACAUCUGGUGGCCCGUAUGGGUAUUCUUCAAAGUGGCUGGAAUGCUGUGGCGCGAACUUGGCUCACUGCAACAUUCACCUCCGGGGUUCGAGCAACUCUCCUGCCUCAGACUCCCGAGUAGCUGGGAUUACAGGCGCCUGCCACCAUGAGUACAUGUUUUAUAAAGGUCAACAGAGAGUUCUCCUCCACCCAGUCACUCAAGGACCCAGGCUGACAGAGACUCUGCCAUCAUAGCUCCACUACGUGGAAC